UACGAAGGGGGCUAGCGUUGCUCGGAAUUACUGGGCGUAAAGGGCGCGUAGGCGGACAGUUUAGUCAGAGGUGAAAGCCCAGAGCUCAACUCUGGAACUGCCUUUGAAACUGGUGAUCUUGAGUACGGGAGAGGUGAGUGGAAUUCCCAGUGUAGAGGUGAAAUUCGUAGAUAUUGGGAAGAACACCGGUGGCAAAGGCGGCUCACUGGCCCGUAACUGACGCUCAGGCGCGAUAGCGUGGGGAUCAAACAGG
rnacentral:rRNA from 1 species